GCCAGACUCCUACGGGAGGCAGCAGUGGGGAAUAUUGCACAAUGGGGGAAACCCUGAUGCAGCGACGCCGCGUGAGCGAUGAAGUAUUUCGGUAUGCAAAGCUCUAUCAGCAGGGAAGAAGAUGACGGUACCUGACUAAGAAGCCCCGGCUAACUACGUGCCAGCAGCCGCGGUAAUACGUAGGGGGCAAGCGUUAUCCGGAUUUACUGGGUGUAAAGGGAGCGUAGACGGCGAUGCAAGCCAGAUGUGAAAGCCCGGGGCCCAACCCCGGGACUGCUCUUGGAACUGCGUGGCUGGAGUGCAGGAGGGGCAGGCGGAAUUCCUGGUGUAGCGGUGAAAUGCGUAGAUAUCAGGAGGAACACCGGUGGCGAAGGCGGCCUGCUGGACUGCAACUGACGUUGAGGCCCGAAAGCGUGGGGAGCAAACAGGAUUAGAUCCCCUAGUA
rnacentral:rRNA from 1 species